UCUCACACACGCACACGUGUGCUCGCACACACACAGCCCACCAUCCUCGGGAGCCAGCUGGCCUUCACCCGGGGGCUCCCAGGGCACAGGCUGGCGGCUGGAGGGUUCACUCUGCACGGAAAUGUCACCAUGUCCUUCGUGCGACCGCAGCCUCUCGUCCUUGCCCUGCGCCUCAGGAAUGUCAUUAGAGCCGACCUCGGUCAAACCGUUCCCAAAUUUUCCAGGACACCCGCCGACAGCAUUAACUAGCAACUCCUUUGCACGUCCCACCGCCUAAACGUGAGAGCCCUCCCUUGGCGUCAGGAGUGGCCUUGACCCUGGCGGGCGCUGGGCUGGGUGCCUGUCGGUCGGGGACACCCGGGAAGUGUCUCCCCGGCCCCAUCACCCUCCCAUGUACCUGAGGCCUGAUAUCAGGACAGUUUGGACUCACACCUGUUCUCUCUCCUCAGGGGACAAGCCGCGGCAUCCCUGGGAGGGUGGCCAGGCCCCGCGACCUCCGCCCUGACCCACGGAGGGGGCCUCACCCCUGCAGGGGGCCUUUCUCCUCACAGUGUGAGGUGGGAGCAACGUCAGGGCCAGGCUGGGACACGAACCAGGCAGGUUUACUCCUGGGCACUUGGUGCCGGAGUCGCCGUGGUGGUGGUAGACGGCGUCACCUUCCCGCGGUCCCUUUAACGGGUCACGGUCUUCGCAGGACGUGUGUGGACUAUGACGCGUGGUCUUCCGCUGACCUGUUUGCGACGUGCCCACGGCCCUGCCUUCCCGAAAUACAAGUCACUUUACCUCCGUUUCCCCCUCUUUAUGCCUCUGAUUUCUGCAUUUUUACCAAAUUGCAUCAAGGUAACAUUGAACAUCUUUGUCUGUCUUCUGACUUAAGGAGGGUAAUGAUAAUAUUCCCUUAGGAUGAUGGAAAAUGCUCGUUUCUUCCCAAUUAAUUGAGAGCUUUUAAUCAAAAAUGGAUGUUUAGAUUUUAUCAAAUUCCUUUCAGGCAUUUAUGGAAAUAAUCAUGUUUUGUUUUUUUCUGUUUAAGAUCAUUAC
rnacentral:lncRNA from 1 species